AUCUAUUGCUUUGCAUUCCUAUUCCUAUUGCUUUAUCCUUUUUUUGAGAUUCGGCCUUGGUUGGCGUGCCUCUCUUAUUCGGGCUGUUCUUUACAGGACUGAGAAUUAGUUUUAAGGAAUACAAAGGAGGACACGACAGACGAGUUAUACCGAGACCGAUUAACUCAGAAUCAAAGUAAGAAACCUAUCAGUAAUUCUUAAAGGGCAGUGGCAAACGGCGGACGAAUGGUGAAGAUAGGAAUAGAUACCGC